UCCUAAAGUUUCAUUUCAUGAUUAAUAAUUAGCACACAUUAGCCCUAUAAGAGGAGAUCCAUUCAGGAAAAGAUGAACAUAAUACUAAACCAAAGAUGGAAGAUGAAGUUCCCAUCAUCAUCUCUUCUUCUAGAACCAAAAUAAUCAUGGUAUAAUGAGAUGCACCAAAAGGUUUGCUUCGCAGGAGAUAUGGCACCGUCGCGUCCAAAUUCAUCCCCAGGAACAAGGCAGGGCUGCGCUGGUAUCAUCUCUCCAGCAGAGGAAACCUUGCAAGUGCAAUAUACAUACAUGUAGAUUUAAAGAAGGAAUGUGGGAAUAAUUUUUUCAAGGUCAGUUAAUUUUGUUUCAUGUUGUUCUUGUUUACUACAAACUCUGCUGCUGUUUUCUGUUUUCCUUGUUCUUUUUCCAGGUAAGAUAUAUGGGCUUAUAGCAGAAGAAAAGGAAUCUUUCAAAUGCAUGAUUAAUCUUUCAAAGGUUAAUUGCUCUGGUUUAUUUUAGAGGAGUACCUCAACUAGCCGAACUAAUCAGCCCUCGGCCUCCUGAAGUAGCCUGAAAAUCUCCCGAGACCAAUAAUAGAAUGUCAGCCUCUGGAUCGAACAAUACGUUUGACAACUUCUAGAUUCGAACCUGGGAUGUUUCAAAUAGAGAUAGAACUAUUCUUUAGGUUGAGUGGUUUCUUAAUAUUGUAUCAAAGCCUCUUAAAUCAAAAAGUUCAGAGUUCGAAUUCUGACAAUCUCAUUUAUUAA